GUAGGUGAACCUGCGGAAGGACCAUUGUCGUGACCCUGACCAAAACAGACCGCGCACGCGUCAUCCUGCCUUCCGGGCGGCAGCAUCGUUCAUCGCCCGGCCAAAGUCCUCGAAAACCUCCUCUCUUCGGAGCGGCGGCUCGGGGUAAAAGAACCCACGGCGCCGAAGGCGUCAAGGAACACUGUGCCUAACCCGGGGACGCCGCUGGCUUGUUGGCCGCACCUUGGGUUGCAAUGCUAUAUAAUCCACAUGACUCUCGGCAACGGAUAUCUCGGCUCUC
rnacentral:misc_RNA from 1 species